UACGAAAAUUAACCUACGAAAAUCCCCUUGCCCCCAACCCCCCGCCCGCAUGUCUGUCGAUCCCCCUCGCCGCCGCCCCGAGACCAACGCACGUCUCUACAUCGAUCCCCUCUCUAGAUCGCCUCCUCCGCCGUUUCUCCAGAUCGCAGUCUCCGUCGUUUCUCCGGAUUGUUGCCACCGCCGUCUGGAUCGCCGCCGCCACGGCCGCCGUCACACAGAAGACGCCGCCGGGAUCGCGUCCGCGUACGGGACUGCGCCGCCGACGUGUGCUGCAGGGACACGUCUCUCCAUCGAUCCCCUCUCCGGAUCGCCUCCUCCGUCGUUUCUCCAGAUCGCCGUCUUCGUCGUUUCUCCGGAUUGCUGCCACCGCCGUCUGGAUCACCGCCGCCGCGCCCGCCGUCACACAGAAGACGCCGUCGGGAUCGCGUCCACGUACGGGACCGCCGCCGCUGAUGUGUGCCGCAGGGACAUCGAAGCAAAGACUGCGGCGCGGCUGGUCCAUUGCGCCCUCGAGCGAGUGCGGUGGAGACAAACUGAGGGGCGCAUGGGAGGCAGACUGGAGGCACGGCCCACGGUGGGCUACUCUGAAAUGCCGCUCUUCCUCUCCCCAUGUUAGUGUUGUAGCUAUGGAGGAUGAGGCAAUUGGAGAUGAUGAGGAUCAUGCAACGGCUGGCGGGCGUGUGCCCUCUCGGCUUUGGGGCGAAGCAGGAAGACUCCGCCUUUGUGGGUGCACCUAUGCCCUCUUUCUCAAGUAGUGAAUUGAGUGCUACACAUUGCUAUUGCUGCAGUAUGAUGUCAAGGUGGAGUGGCUCAGAGCUCCUGUGUUUGACAACUCUGAGAACAAAGUACAGUCGUAACACAUCGACGGCUACGCCUUUUUGGGUUGUUGGGUACGCAUGUGAGAGACAUUGGUUUCAGUGAUUGUGAAAGGAGGAAAAUGGUCGCCGAAAAGCAGGCAGAUCUACACCUUGAGAGAUGGCAUUUUGCGGUACAUUGUUUAGGUAUUUGGAGUAUCUAUUAUGUUUCAGAAUUUCUCGAACUAUGGUAUCUCCAUAUCCAUCUAAUGAAUGUCCCCCCCCCCCCCCCUAAUUUCAUUGAUAUCUUAAUGAGAAAUUUGGCUUUUGGUGAACUAAAACAAUAUACCAAUAAAAAAAUUAGCGCUUGGUUGUACAUAUGAAUGUUAACUUUGUUAAAAUAAUUCUCCCUUUAUAAGAGAAGAUUUCUUAGUUCAAAUAUAUAUUGGUGAAAAAAAUAUAGUAUUUUCCUGACAAACCUUUUGAUUCCUCAACAUCCAUAUUUCAGAAGGAUAAUGGUGGUGUGUUUAUGUUGCUUUGGGUCUCUUAUCACUCGGAUCAUUCAUCAGAAAAAUAUUUAAAAAAUAAUUCUAUUUUGACGUUUCCUUUGAGUUCAUUGUUCCAUAAUAGUAGUUUAGGUUCACAGGAAACCAGACCAUAUGUUUCAGUUUCACUCUUUGGACCAUGAUGGUGGUGUGCAAGGCGGGCUAGAUCGUAAUGCUAAAAGAAUCAAUGGAGGUUAUUGGAUAGCUUUUAGAUUCUCCAAAAAAUAAUCUAGCAGAUGGAUGAUCCUAUUAUCACGUAUGGUGGUGGUGUGCAAGGAAACAGAGCAGCAUGAUGGUAGCUAAUGUUGUUAUUUUCACAUGUAAGAUGUAUGAGCUUCAGUUGUCAAAAAUGAUUAGUUUAAUCGGAAUUUAGAGUUUCAUUCUUAGUUCUUUGAAAUAUUGUUUUUAUGGGUAAUUCCUGAAGAGUGUAGUAUAUUGGGAGCCAAGGCCGAGUAGCAAGCCAUGUGUCACCGCAAGGACAGGAGCGAGAUUUAAUUAAUUUUAUUUGCAAGAUUUGGUCUUCCCUUCUUGUUUUCAUGGUCAUCUCACAGGUUUUAUCACUUACAUUUCCUUCUAUGGUGGUCUGAUCAUUGUACUUUGGGACAUUGUACUUUUAGGACGUAAUGUGCACUUCUGGUUGUUAUUUUAAAUUGCUCAUGUCUUGAUAUGUCUUUCAAAUUCUUGACAUCUGCCCCAGUAGCCUAAACUUCCAUGGCAUGCUCCAUCGGAGUAUUUUGUUUGUUGUACAAUUUUCAAGUGCGACCUUCCAAUUUAUGUUGUUGUAACUGUAAGGUUUGGCACCUCAGAUAAGUUCUCGAAAUACCAAUGUCAUAUUUCAAUUAGAAAAUAAGAUUUAGUUUGAUCAUGCAUGCAAUUGUAAUAACCCUACUAUGAGCUUUUAUGUACUGGUUUAAAUAGUUAAAUCUUCUAGAUCAUUUUGCAUAUUUUCUUGGAAUUAUACUGUGAGAGCAUCUUAGUUUUCACUAAGCGAUAAAAUACAUUUUCUAUUUCCGUAAUACAGGUCAUUAGUGGUCACUUGGGAUGGGUGCGAUCUGUAGCAUUUGAUCCAGGGAACAAAUGGUUUUGUCCUGGUUCUGCUGAUAGGACAAUAACGACAAGGAAGAAGGUUGCAGAGCACGGAUGGAUGUGAAAAGGAAGAGGAUGGAUGAGAGAGGAGAGAAGAGGGGUGAAAGAGGAUACGGAUGGAAAGAGGGAGAAGGACAGGGUGGAUGCGCUUCUUGAGGAUUUUUGUCGACUGAUUUCAUACUCUCUUAUAAAUUCAUGGUUAGCUAGGUAAACCUUUUGUACAACAGCUCUUGUUCAAAAGGAAGUUUGAUUUUUCGGCUUCUUAUUUUAGGUCAAUAUCAAGAACAGUUUAGUUAAUUUAGUUUAAUGUUUAUGUUUGAAAUUGACUUUUACCAUUCUGGUUGAAUGGGGGUGUGGAUAGAAGAGAUUGUGAGUCGGGUAUGGUGAUGCCAACAUUGUAUUGGGGGCAGAUAGAUUUAAGUUCUGUCU